rnacentral:tRNA from 1 species
GCCUGUCUGGCUCAGUCAGUAGAGCAUGAGACUUCUGAUCUUGGGGUUGUGAGUUCAAGCCCCAUGUUGGGUC